GAGAGAGGAACUUGACAGGAGCGCAGAGAAUAAGUUUGUGAGAGAGCACCUGAGUGAAGCGCGUGAGACGGGUUAUUACUGCACGUAAAUAUAUGGAUAAUAGCAAACAAGCAAAUACAUUUAUUGAGCACGGAAUCGUUUUUUAUUUGCUCAAACUAUUUUUUUUUUGCGAUUGUUAAUUUCUGUUCAAAAUAUAAUAUAAUGUGCUUGCAAAAUAUAGUUCUCUCUGCUCAAAACUUACAAUUGCUCGCUCAGGAAUGAGGCACAAAUAUUACGCCAUAGGAACAGACCUGUCAGAAAACAUCUCUGAACCAUAUGGCUAUGUUUUUCAGGAUUUUUGGAUGAAUAGAAAAUUAACCCUGGAUAACCCAAGAACCCUUUGUUAGGAUCCUGCCGGAGUCCUGUUGGAAUCUCUCUCCGUGCCCGCCAGGAUUUCGUCAGUGUUAACAUCUCUCUGGAUGUCCUACAGCCCGGCUGGGUUUCCCACAUUGUGACGGUUCAAGAGGAUCGCGUGGUUCGCCUCGCUUGUGUUAUUUCUUCACCUCUUCAUCACACACACGGACACAGAGAGUUUUCUACUACACAUAUCACUGAUGACAUCGAGAGUUGAUCUACCUAUCUCAGUACGCUUAUUAAAGAAAAUCAUAACAACCCUCGUUUCCUCUUUAGCACAGUUGCAAAACUGACAAGAAACAAAGAACAAACAGAAACCAAUAGUAAACUCCAACACAAUAGUAACGAUUUCAUGAACUUCUUUUCUAACAAAAUUAAGGCUAUUAGGGAAAACAUCGUAACUACCCAAGCAGCCAUCACUCUACCCAUUAGUUCACUAAACACUAGAUUACCAUAUGAACAUCUUGAUUCAUUUAAACCUACUACAAUAGAUGAGCUCUCUAAACUAGUCACAUCAUCCAAAUCAUCGUCCUGUAUAUUAAACCCCGUUCCCACAAAACUACUUAAAGAGGUAUUCCCUGUAGUGUCAACCCCGGUUCUAAAUAUCUUUAACUCAUCGUUAAAAAUAGGAUAUGUUCCAACAGCUUUCAAGCUAGCAGUUAUUAAACCGCUGAUUAAAAAACCACAGCUUGAUCAGGGAGAGCUUAAUAACUUUAGACCAAUCUCAAAUCUCCCUUUUCUUUCGAAAAUAUUAGAAAAAGUAGUGGCAAGCCAGUUACGCACAUUCUUGACAAAUAAUAGUACGUAUGAAAAGUUCCAAUCAGGAUUCAGGCCCCACCAUAGCACAGAGACAGCGUUGCUUAGAGUUACAAAUGACCUCCUGUUAACAUCCGAUCGUGGUGAAAUCUCAAUCCUUAUAUUACUAGACCUUAGUGCAGCCUUUGACACAAUAGAUCACACAAUCUUACUCAAUAGACUAGAAAACUAUGUUCGUAUCAGUGGUCAGGCGUUAGCCUGGUUUAGGUCGUAUCUAACCAAUCGCUAUCACUUUGUUUAUGUAAAUGAGGAACAGUCAUAUCACUCCCUGGUUAAAUAUGGUGUACCGCAGGGAUCAGUUUUAGGUCCUAUCCUGUUCUCAUUAUAUAUGUUACCUCUAGGAGACAUUAUCAGGAAACAUAACAUAAGUUUUCACUGCUAUGCGGAUGAUACCCAGCUUUACAUCUCCUCACAUCCCAGCGAA